CUCCAGCUACCCUCUGAUUGCCAAAUGUGAAACAAAGCCAAGUGCUUCUUUGUGACCUUUGGCCAUGUCAGUAGGGCCCGCAAACUCUGUUUCUGAGCACGAAGUGCUGACAUGUUUGCCCUGGAAGGAGUGAAGGAGCGGGGCUCGCUGUCAGCAGCUUCAGUGAUUGCCCCAGAGUGGUAUGAGUCGCAGGAAACCAAGAGGGGAAGUGAUUUGGGGAAAGGAAAGCAAGACGCUAACCAAGCCCAAGCGUUCUCUUUUGAAGAUGGAAGACACGUCCGGUCUGUUCAAGGCCUCCCUGAGGCUAUUGCAGGUCUGACGAAGCAGACAUGA
rnacentral:lncRNA from 10 species